GAUGAACGCUGGCGGCGUGCCUAAUACAUGCAAGUCGAGCGAAUGGAUUAAGAGCUUGCUCUUAUGAAGUUAGCGGCGGACGGGUGAGUAACACGUGGGUAACCUGCCCAUAAGACUGGGAUAACUCCGGGAAACCGGGGCUAAUACCGGAUAAUAUUUUGAACUGCAUGGUUCAAAAUUGAAAGGCGGCUUCGGCUGUCACUUAUGGAUGGACCCGCGUCGCAUUAGCUAGUUGGUGAGGUAACGGCUCACCAAGGCAACGAUGCGUAGCCGACCGGGGCGGGUGAUCGGCCAACCUGGGACUGAGACACGGCCCAGACUCCUACGGGAGGCAGCAGUAGGGAAUCUUCCGCAAUGGACGAAAGUCUGACGGAGCAACGCCGCGUGAGUGAUGAAGGCUUUCGGGUCGUAAAACUCUGUUGUUAGGGAAGAACAAGUGCUAGUUGAAUAAGCUGGCACCUUGACGGUACCUAACCAGAAAGCCACGGCUAACUACGUGCCAGCCGCCGCGGUAA
rnacentral:rRNA from 1 species